CACGUAGUUAGCCGUGACUUUCUGGUUGGAUACCGUCACUGCGUGACCAGUUACUCUCACGCACGUUCUUCUCCAACAACAGAGCUUUACGAGCCGAAACCCUUCUUCACUCACGCGGUGUUGCUCCAUCAGGCUUGCGCCCAUUGUGGAAGAUUCCCUACUGCUGCCUCCCGUAGGAGUAUGGACCGUGUCUCAGUUCCAUUGUGGCCGAUCAGUCUCUCAACUCGGCUAUGCAUCAUCGCCUUGGUAAGCCGUUACCUUACCAACUAGCUAAUGCACCGCAGGCCCAUCCCGGAGUGAUAGCCAAAGCCAUCUUUCAAACAAAAGCCAUGUGGCUUUUGUUGUUAAUGCGGUAUUAGCAUCUGUUUCCAAAUGUUACUCCCCCGCUCCCGGGGCAGGUUACCCUAGUGUUACGUCACCCCGUCCGCCACUCACUGGUGAUCCAAGUCAAUCAAGUGACAAGCACCAUCAAUCAGUUGGGCCAGUGCGUACGUACG
rnacentral:rRNA from 1 species